GUACUAUCAGAGGGAGAGACAGGGGAAAGGUGGAUUAUUGGUACUAUCAGAGAGGGAGAGAGACAGGGGAAAGGUGGAUUAUUGGUACUAUCAGAGGGAGAGACAGGGGAAAGGUGGAUUAUUGGUACUAUCAGAGGGAGAGAGACAGGGGAAAGGUGGAUUAUUGGUACUAUCAGAGGGAGAGAGGGAGGGGAAAGGUGGAUUAUUGGUACUAUCAGAGGGAGAGAGGGAGGGGAAAGGUGGAUUAUUGGUACUAUCAGAGGGAGAGACAGGGGAAAGGUGGAUUAUUGGUACUAUCAGAGGGAGAGACAGGGGAAAGGUGGAUUAUUG